GACGAAGGAUGCAAGCGUUAUCCGGAUUCAUUGGGUUUAAAGGGAGCGUAGGCGGAUUGGUAAGUCAGUGGUGAAAUCUUUGGGCUUAACCCAGAAACUGCCAUUGAUACUGCUGAUCUAGAGUACAGUUGCCGUUGGCGGAAUAUGACAUGUAGUGGUGAAAUACUUAGAUAUGUCAUAGAACACCGAUUGCGAAGGCAGCUAACGAAGCUGUAACUGACGCUGAGGCUCGAAAGCCAGGGGAGCGAACGGG
rnacentral:rRNA from 1 species